CCUACGGGUGGCAGCAGUGAGGAAUAUUGGUCAAUGGCCGUAAGGCUGAACCAGCCAAGUCGCGUGAAGGAAGCAGGAUCUAUGGUUUGUAAACUUCUUUUAUAGGGGAAUAAAGGUAUCCACGUGUUGAUAUUUGCAUGUACCCUAUGAAUAAGCAUCGGCUAACUCCGUGCCAGCAGCCGCGGGAAUACGGAGGAUGCGAGCGUUAUCCGGAGUUAUUGGGUUUAAAGGGUGCGGAGGUUGGUAUUUAAGUCCGCGGUGAAAGUUUGUGGCUCAACCAUAAAAUUGCAGUUGAAACUGGAAGACUUGAGUGAGUGAGGGGUAGGCGGAAUGCGUGGUGUAGCGGUGAAAUGCAUAGAUAUCACGCAGAACUCCGAUUGCGAAGGCAGCUUACUAGGGCAUAACUGACACUGAAGCACGAAAGUGUGGGGAUCAAACAGGAUUAGAUACCCCUGUAGUC
rnacentral:rRNA from 1 species